CCUCAUAGACACUUGGGCCAAAGAGCAUGGCAUUGAGCUCUACCCAGCAGUUUACAAAGGAGCAUAGGGAAAGCAGUGCCCAGAGAUGAGCGGCACUUGAAGGUCAUACUGAGUUGUUAGUAGAUGGGGGACACAGCACUGGAGGUUCCGACUGCCAUGAAUCGUGAUGACGAAGCUCCUCUGGUGAAACUGACUGUGCUCUGUUAACCCAAUAGACACAACUGGGAAACCAGGACAUCUAACAGUUACAGUGCCAGGAAUUUGUGUGUUAACUGCUUUUUUAAAAACAAGAUGUUUGCUUUCACUAUUGCAUUUUCCUUCUGCUCUCUUUGACCGAUUACGGGAAGAAAGAGUAACGACUGUUUAGCGGAUGAAUGGAAUUUAUAGAACAAACAACCUUAAAAAACAUAUUCUUGCCCUCUCAUUUUAAUCCUUUUACAGCAUUCAUUACAAAAUUACAUUAAAAAUGUAUAUAAUUUAAAGUUGUCUCUACUGCCUAUUUAAAUGCAUCUGUUACAUUUUAGUGCUAUAAUGUUCUACCUUUUCUUGCAAACUUGUAAAAGAAUCAAGACUGUUUAAAAACAG